GUGAAGAACGUAGCGAAAUGCGAUAAGUAAUGUGAAUUGCAGAAUUCAGUGAAUCAUCGAAUCUUUGAACGCACAUUGCGCCCCUUGGUAUUCCGAGGGGCAUGCCUGUUCGAGCGUCAUAUUAACCACUCCCGCUUGCGGGGUCUUGGGCUUCGCCUCCGGGCGGGCCUUAAAAUCAGUGGCGGUGCCGUCGGGCUCUACGCGUAGUAAAUUUUCUCGCGAUAGGGUCCCGGUGGAUGCUUGCCAACAACCCCCAACUUCUUAAGGUUGACCUCGGAUCAGGUAGGGAUACCCGCUGAACUUAAGCAUAUCAAUAAGCGGAGGA
rnacentral:misc_RNA from 1 species